UGAGGAUAAGGAACAUGGUGUUGCAGUUCAAACCAGUUCCAGCCAAAAUGGACUCUCGUCACAAACAAAUAGUAAUAACAAUCCAAACUUGUGGCUAAAUAGAGUUCUGAAGUUUUGAGAAAGAGGUAAAGAUAUGAAAUAGUUGUCUAGGAGCAGGCAAAAAAAUGGCUUAGAGAAAUUACAAUUGCUACUUAGCACUAAGGGGCCACUUGAGAUUAGAGGUGAUACAUGAAGAGUGAGAUUUGAACUGAGUUUUAAAGAAUGUUAAGAACUUGGAUGGAGAGACAAGGGAGACAACUUUAGACAAAGAUGAUCUGUAGACCCAAGGCCUGACAUUCUCAUCAUUAUUGUUUGCCUUAGUUUGUAUAUCCUCUAAAAGCCCAAGGCGAGCAUUUAUUUGGAAGGGGAUUUCAGGGAACGCAAGUGAGGAAGUGAUUCAGCUCAAAAGUUUUGUUUAGAAUCUACUUCCUAGUACCCACCAGCUUAGGUUGAGUUUCCCAGAAUCAGAUCUGUGUUGGAGAUUUGUGUGUAUGAUGUUUAUUGGGGAGCUUCCCCAGAAACAACACCUUUAAGUACAGGAAACAAUUGAACAGGGACAAAAAUCCUACAGUGAUAAAAUUAUAACAGAAGUCGUAGGUAAUCCUUUGGGGCUCUCUGGAGCUAAAACAGCUUUUCAAAAUUGUCUAUAAAUUGAUGCAAGAGGAACACAUCUUCAUACUUCACGUUAAACAGUCAUUGGGCACAGGCUACCCUAGGAGAAAGCUUUUAACCUU
rnacentral:lncRNA from 1 species